rnacentral:rRNA from 1 species
CACCACAGUAUCAAGCAAUUCUAUGCAACUAUAGAACUUUUCAUGUUAAUACUAGUAACAAGAAGACCCAACUUCUCUUUAAUGCAAGCAUACAUCAGACAGGACAAACCGCUGAUACUUAACGUACAUGACCUCACAGUAAAAACUCCACAAGAAAACUCUACUAGACUAUAUGUUAACCUAACACUAGAGCAUUUCAAGAAAGAUUAAAAGAAAGAGAAGGAACUCGGCAAAUUUUAACCCCGCCUGUUUACCAAAAACAUCGCCUCUUGUAUACCUAUAAGAGGUCCAGCCUGCCCAGUGACUCUGUUCAACGGCCGCGGUAUCCUAACCGUGCGAAGGUAGCGUAAUCACUUGUUCUUUAAAUGAGGACUAGUAUGAAUGGCACCACGAAGGUUAUACUGUCUCCUCUCUCUAAUCAGUGAAACUAAUCUCCCCGUGAAGAAGCGGGGAUAAUCUUAUAAGACGAGAAGACCCUAUGGAGCUUUAAACUAAGAAUCAACUGCCUUCACCAUAUUUAAAUUCCAGAAGACUAACUUUUACCAAGACAUUCUGAUUUCUAGUUUUAGGUUGGGGUGACCACGGAGUAAAAACUAACCUCCGCAAUGAACAGGGAUCUUCCCUUAACCAAGGACCACAACCCCAAGAAUCAAUACAUUGACAUCAAUUGACCCAUUAAACCUGAUCAAUGAACCAAGUUACCCUAGGGAUAACAGCGCAAUCCACUUCAAGAGCUCCUAUCGACAAGUGGGUUUACGACCUCGAUGUUGGAUCAGGGUAUCCCAGUGGUGCAGCCGCUACUAACGGUUCGUUUGUUCAACGAUU